rnacentral:rRNA from 1 species
GACGAACGCUGGCGGCGUGCCUAAUACAUGCAAGUUGAGCGCUGAAGGUUGGUACUUGUACCAACUGGAUGAGCAGCGAACGGGUGAGUAACGCGUGGGGAAUCUGCCUUUGAGCGGGGGACAACAUUUGGAAACGAAUGCUAAUACCGCAUAAAAACUUUAAACACAAGUUUUAAGUUUGAAAGAUGCAAUUGCAUCACUCAAAGAUGAUCCCGCGUUGUAUUAGCUAGUUGGUGAGGUAAAGUCUCACCAAGGCGAUGAUACAUAGCCGACCUGAGAGGGCGGUCGGCCACAUUGGGACUGAGACACGGCCCAAACUCCUACGGGAGGCAGCAGUAGGGAAUCUUCGGCAAUGGACGAGAGUCUGACCGAGCAACGCCGCGGGAGUGAAGAAGGUUUUCGGAUCGUAAAACUCUGUUGGUAGAGAAGAACGUUGGUGAGAGUGGAAAGCUCAUCAAGUGACGGUAACUACACAGAAAGGGACGGCUAACUACGUG